UGGAUGAUCCUUGGUAACAACUGGCCAACU
rnacentral:piRNA from 1 species